GUGGUCAUACGAUGUUGCUGUAAUGGGUCUGCUCAUUUUUAAGCAGGUUUUGGUGUCGUCUUCCUACUAGUCGAGGCAGAACGACAGCGCCAUCUACAGUCCAAUAUCCCAGUCCAGUAUCCCAGGUGUACGAGAGUAAAAAGACCCCCCUCGUCCCGGUUUAAAGCCCCUGGAAUGACAAUGCCAUCUGCAGUCCUGUAUCCCAGGUGUGUCAGAGCGAAAAGACCCCGUCGUCCCAGUUAAAAGUCCCAUGAAACUUCAGCGCCAUCUGCAGUCCAACUUCUUCAGGGCAGUAUCCAGGUGUACGAGACUAAAAUGGUCCCCCUCGUCCCGGUUUAAAGUCCCGUGGAACGACAGCGCCAUCUGCAGUUCCGUAUCCCGGGGGUGUGAGGUGCAAAAAGACUCCCCUUCGUCCUGGUUUAAAGGCCUACGGAACAACAGCGCCAUCUGCAGGCCAACAUCUUCAGGACAAUAUCCAGAGGAUAAACACGCUCGUAUCCACUUGGCUUCCUUCUCACAGCAUGGAUCACGGACCAGCCAAACUACGUCAAGUCUGUCUCCACGUUGUAAACAGUUAGACCCAGGAAGCAAAAACAAACUCAUAACUUUCUUCCCCGGCAUGAAACCUCGCCGUGUUAUGUAAGGACAUCGCUGCGUAACACGACGUUUACACCGGCCAACGUUGAGGAAGUGAUGUGUUAAUAAGAUCGUGUCAUUAAAACAAACAAAACCAGCAGUGCAGUCGUGUUUACUCUGCCCCGC
ensembl:lncRNA